AUUAACAGUUAUUUUCCAAUUCUGUAUUAUAAAAUUAUUUCUGAUAAUGGAAAAUUCUCAAUUUCUUUAAAUUAAUUAAAACAUUGAAAGUCUACAGUGUAUAAAAGAAAGCACUGGAUUUCUGGAGAGGUGAGGCAGAAUACGAAGGUAAACAGGAAUCAUUAUUCCUUUUCUCAGAGGUAUGUAAUCUACAGGGGAAGCAUGCAGCACCUGAAAGGGGAGGAGAGGUUGGUGGGCCAUGCAGGGUUGAAGGAGGAGCAUAGGAACAUGGGUCUGGGAAAGUUUGGCUAGCUUUACAGUGCUCAAUUGAAAUACUACUUUGCAAUAUUUUCUCAACACCAGGGUUCAAGUUUGUUAGUCCUACUGAGACAUCAGGUCAGAAGAAAAGAACAAAAGUGAGAAGGCAUUUAUGGCUUUGCAUUCUCAGAAAGUCAUCCUGCUGGUUCAGCUGUGUAUGAUUGAGCAUAUUAUCAUUGAUGAAGAAUUUUUAUUUAUUUUUGAUCAAAGACUUCACCAUGUUUUCCUGAACUUUUCAAUCUCCUGGUUGCAGAGUUUUAACGUGAGCUCUCCUCGGGCCUGGGAGAAAUUCUGAGAAUGACCCCUGAGAAUGAGCUCAGUGGUGAGAAGUCCAAGGACAGGAUGAGGUCGACAUUGCAAGUGUUUUUGGAAUAAGAAUCAACACACUUAAAGACUGGGAUUUGGAAGUGAGAAGGAGUACAUGGAAGUGAUUCAGGAAGACAAGGAAAUGAGACACAAGUGGCAACAUUUGUCAAAGUUCUAUGCAUUUGUUCCUUUGGAUUCAAGUGAAACAUCUGGAGUCAAUUCUUAACCCAAUGUUGGUUUGUUCUCACCAACCUCUUUGCCCUGCUAUUGGAAAAUAUAUUACAUUUCUGUAUGUUAUAUGCCCACAAAUACAAUUAAAUGUAUACUGCUUUAUGAUUUUUAAACAAGAUAAGAAAGGAUAAGAAAUAGGCAAUUAUACUCCUUUAUAAUUGCAUAAUUACCUUUAUCAGUGUUCUUUGUUUUGUGUGUGUGCGUAUUCAAAUUACUGUCUUGGGUCACUUGCUUUAAGCCUGAAGAACUAACUUUAGUAUGUCUUGUAAGGUAGGUCUACUGGCAGCAGAUUCCUUCAGAUUUUGUUUUCCAAAUGUCUUUUUAUUUCAUCUUCAUUUUUAAAUGAUAAUUUUGCUGGAUAUAUGAUUCUUGAUUAAGAACUUUUAAAAUUUGAGGGCAGAGAAUAGGUUAUCCUAUUGCCUUCAGCCCUCUAAUGUUUCUGAUGAUAAGUCAACUGUUAAUCUUAUACGAGUUUCCUUAAGCAAGAUGUCAUUUUCCUCUUGCUGCCUUCAAGAUUUUCUUUGGCAUUUUUACUAUGUGUCUAUUCAUGGGUCUUUUUGAGUUUAUCCUACUUGCAGUUUGUUGAACUUCCUGGAUAUGUAGAUUUAAAUAUUUUAGGAAAUGGGAAUUUUUUAGCCAAUAAUUUUUCAAAUAUUUUUCUGCUCCUUUCCUUCUCUGUUCUUCUGGUGCUGCCUUUAAAUGUCUGUUGGUAUACAUUAGUGUCCCACAUUUCUCUGAGACUUUGCUCAUUUUUUCUUCAUUCUUUUUUCACUCUGUUCUUUUAUUGCAUAAUUUCUAUUGAUCUAUUCUUAAGUACUUUUACUUUCUGCCCAUUUAAGUGUAUUAUUGAUUCCAUCUAGUGAAUUUUUAAAUUUCAGUUAUUGCUCCUUUCAGUUCCAAAAUUCCCAUUUGGUUAUUUUUAAUAAUUUCUGUCUCUUUAUUAAUGUUCUCUAUGUGAUGUGACACUGUCAUCAUGCUUUACUUCUAAAAUCAUGGUUUUCUUUGUUUCUUUGAACAUAUUUAUAAUGUCUUCUUUUCUCACAUCUGGUCUCUCCUGCAGGUGGCUUUAUUUCCUGCUAUUCUUCUGGUAUCUAGGCCAUAAUUUCCUGCUUAUUUUGCAUGUCUCAUAUUUUUUGGAAAAUGAACAUUUUAGAUAUUGCAGCAACGUUGGGUACUGGCUUCAUCUCUCCCCUCUUUCAGUGCUUGUCAUUGUUGUUAGCUUGUUUACUUGUUUAAAGACUAACUGGAUUAUUUUAGUGUUGUCCAUUCCCUUCUCUUCCUCCUCUAUCCCCUAAACAGACACAGGGUAAAGCCUCUGAUGUUUUUCCUCAGGGAUUCAGCCUUGGACAUGCCCAGCCACUUUGGGAUAACAAGGUUUUAGCAGGACAUAGGCAGUGUUUGUCUAGUUACCUGACCACACUAACCUAUGAAACUCCACUAACUGCUGGUUAAAAGCUCUAUUGUUCAUAACAAUGCCCUGGAGAUUAAAUUAUUUACACCCUAAUCCAGUCAAAUUCAGGCUGCUAUGAAGGGACAGUUCCUGAUGGUCAAAGUUUGAAAUUUAUUCAGACUCUAGUUCUUGCAGCUGGUUUCUUAUUUUUCUCCAGCAACUAGUUGGCUUAUCAUUUAGCCUGUAUCUUCAAGGAUUUUAUCAGUCUCCUCCCCAUUGCCUCUCACCAACACUUCUACUGAUUUUGAAAGCACAAUUGAAUUUGAACUUCAUAUGCUGUUGCAAAUAAAGUUGGCUCCUUUGGGGAGAUAAUUUGAACUCUCUGUUCUAUGGUCUGCCUUUCCUCCCAGGGAAAAUCUCUGAGCCACAACUCUGGUGCUGGAGUAAGGAACAAUAGGUCAAUUCUAAGUGACAGCCCAGUUUGAAGAAGUAAGUGCUCAGUGGAUAUAUGGGCAAGAGCCCCAGGUGUCCUUGGCUUGUCUCCCUUGGCACAAGCCCCUGUCCUAUGAGCUGAGUCAAUAGCAAUUGGGAUCUCAAUGUCCUACCAUGCCCAAGGUAGAACCUUUGUCUCAUGAGAGGAAACGUGGUGGAAGAAUGGGGCCCCCACCUGUUGGCUGCAGUAGUACAGAACUUUGCCUCAGCAACAAGUAUCUAGGGGCAGUAUGAGAAAUGCUAAUGUCAUGUCCUUCCCAGGAAGACAACCCUCCAACCAGGACCUGGGGGGAGUCAAAAACUUGUGUUCUUGGUUGUACAAGUCUGGGUGGAGUUCCCAGCUCAAUGAGUGGAGAGGGGAAAUGUGCGGAUCUUCAAAUACUAAAGACUCAUUAUUUUAUGGAGCUUUAGUAAAUAUUCUUGAGUAAAUGUGUCCUCAUUUGCUGUAUAUCUGUAGCGGCAUUUCCAUUUGUGUAUGCUCAUAAGGCCAACUAUUUUUAAAUGUGUUUUAAAAAUAGUUUUCAUCAGUUUUUUUGAGGAGUGAUACUGAGUUGCACACCAUCGUGCCAGAAGUGGAGCCAGGAAGGGGAAACUGAUACAGUAUAGAUUAGCAUUCUCUUUAACUGAAGGCUUGCUGUAUCUUUGGUUGCUAGUGGAAGGCCUAAGAUAUAUUUGUAGUAUUAAAAAUAAAAAUUAAAAAAUAAUUUUCUAAUGUUAGUAUGUUAGAAGCAAAGCCUAAGAUGGCAAUUCCUGUAGAUGAUUUGUUGCUUGAAUCCUCUGAGAAGAAAUCUUUAGAGAAGUGGAGACAUAGGAGGAUGCAAGUUCCCAGGCAUUUCUCAAGGGAGAUCAUGUAAGCAUUUCUAGAAGCCAGCACUCAAAGCAUCUUGGGAUGGAUACUCUGCUGUAAAGAGACUAAGAGACUUCAUUAUCAACUAUCAAAAUUAACCUCAUAAAAAUAAUCAUAUUAAAGAGUAUGUAGAGUAAAGAAACUCAGUGUAGAGUUUACUAAUAGCUGCUCCAAGAACCCAAAUCAACCACAUAAACAAAAUUGUAGCAACAGUAAUAAAAACAAUAUAACAGCCACUCUUAUUGGACACUUUCUACCUUUAAGGAAGUACACUUACUAUCUCUAAUCCUCAUGAUCACACAGUAAAUUAGAUAUUAUUCAUACAUUUAUGCAAGUGAAGAGAUUAGACUUAACAUAUUCUAGGUCACUUAGCUUGGUUCUAGAGCUUAGUCUCAGAUGCAAGCUCUCUGACUCCAAGGCCUGUCCUCUGUCCAUUACUUACACAAAACUGUCCAAAAAGGGGUGAAGAAAUGAGAAAAGAAAGAAAAACAAAGGGUAAAAAUAGAUAAGAGAAUAAAGUGGUAAGGAAAAAUGUAUGAAAGUAUAGUCAUGCAUGGGAGUGCCAGGGCAGGAUCAACAGGUUCCCCUGUAGCUCUUCAUUAGCACAAAUACCCUACAAUUUGGUCUAAGCCUUCUGAGGCGAGCUUCAUCAAGGCUCAACAAUGCUGAACCCACAAAUCCUUUCAAUGUAGCCCUAUUUCUACCUUGGGUUUUUGCUGAGAAGUCUGAGGAAAAAUUCCCUUAAACUUUCCAGAAGCCCAAUUGUUUGAGAGCAUCUAUGAUACAUACUGUAUCUCCUCAGAGAGUCUUUUUCUGAUUAUGUCAUACUCCAAGGAUGCAACCAUAAUGAUUCUGAGGUUUAAGGAAAAGAAUCUUCAGUCAUGUCCUUCAUUUCAUAUUUGACCACUCCAUCUUUUUUCUUUUCUUUUCUGGCAACACCCUGGAUUUGUUCUUUGCUUGGAAACCAUUUAUGAAUUUAAUUUUAGGAUCAUUUCCCUUCCUGGGAACUGCUGCUUUGUGUCUUCCUACUCCCCUUCCCAAAAUUGAGUUUAUGGUCUCCAUAAGAUUAUAUAUCAUGACAAAAGUAUCUUACAAGUCUCCUUCAACUUUCACUGCAUUUUGCAAAUUUUGAUGAGUUGUAUUUUUAUUUUUAUUUCAUUGAAUACAUUUUAAAAUCCCUCUUGAGACUUAUUUGACCUAUGUAUAACGUAGAAGUGUGUUGUUUACUAUCCAGGUAUUUUAGGACUUUCCAGCUAUCUUUCCAUUGUUGAUUUCUAGUUUAAUUUCACUCUAGUCUGAGACAUACAUUAUAACAUUUCUGUUCCUUUCAAUUUUUAAGGUGUGUUUAAUGAUACAUAUUGAGGUCUAUCUUGGUGAAUGUUUUAUGUUAGCUUGAGGAAAAUAUGUAUUCUGAUGUUUUUGGUAUUCUAUAAAUGUUGAUUACAUCCUGUAGAUUCCAAAUAGAAAAAUCAAUCAAUAUAAUAUACCACAUUAAGAGAGCAAAGAAAAAAAAUGGUCAUCCAAUUGAUUCACAAAAAUCCUUUGAUCAAAUUUAAUAAUUUUUCUGUUAAAAAAAUACUAAAAAAUUAGGAAUAGAAGAAAACUUCCUCAACAUGAUAAAAACCAUGCAUGAAAAAUCCACAGCUACAUCCUACUCAAUGAUGAAAGACUGAAAUCUUCUCCCCUAAGAUAACAAAAAAGACAGUAAUGCCCAUUUUUCCCUCCUCUAUUUAACAUAGUAUUAGAGGUACUAGCCAGUGUAAUAAAACAAGGGAAAGAAAUAAAGAGAUUUAAAAUUGGAAAUGAAGAAAUAAAUUCUCUCAACACACGACAAAGAUAUUAAAUAUAGAAAUAUCA